UUCACUUUAUACAAAUUACUAUCUAUAAGCUAAAAAUAGAGUAUGUUUAUAACUUUUAACUUCCUAAAUCAAUAUAGAUUACUUCAAACUUGAAUGCGAUUUGAUCUGAUUUGAAAAAUAAGGGAGAAAAAUGAGACAGAGUCAGCAAAAAGUCAUCAUACAACAGGACAAAGUCAGCAACCAGAUGUAAGCUCUCAGCUACUCCUCCAGAACCAUGACUGUCUGCCUGCUGCUUUGCUCUCAACCAUGAUAGUCAUAGAUUCACCCUCUGAAAGUCCUUUUUUCCUGCACAAAUUGAUGGUGACAGCAGCGAUACCAAUUCAAUUACAUACCAUCUUCUGGUUCCCAGUAAUGAUUCAGAGUAGGUCAACAAGGACCAGAUUGGAACAAGAAUGACCAUGAAUUAAAAGGAAAGAAUAAGCAACAAAAGCCUGAGUUAUAAUCUAUUUUCACUUCUGGGGAAAUUUUAAGCCAUAUUAUCUUAAACAUAAGCAGGUACAGGAGUCAGUUUUCAACACUGGCUUUCCUCUCAGAGGGAUGCAACUUCUUCUACCUCUUCACUGCUGGGGACUUGCAUCUCCUGAGUUACAUCACUGCAAGAAUCCUACAUCACUGCAAGCGUCCACGCCCCUAUGGUACA